UACGAAGGGUGCAAACGUUGCUCGGAAUUAUUGGGCGUAAAGCGCACGUAGGCGGCUCAAAAAGUCCCAUGUGAAAGCCCACGGCUUAACCGUGGAAGUGCAUGGGAUACUGUUGAGCUUGAGUACUUAAGAGGAUCGCGGAAUUCCCGGUGUAGAGGUGAAAUGCGUUGAUAUCCUAAGGAACACCCGUGGCGAAAGCGGCUCACUGGGUCUCUUCUGACGCUGAGGCACGAAAGCUAGGGUAGCGAACGGG
rnacentral:rRNA from 1 species